rnacentral:rRNA from 1 species
CAGUCGCCGCGGGAAUACGAAGGGUGCAAGCGUUAAUCGGAAUUACUGGGCGUAAAGCGUGCGUAGGCGGUGAGUUAAGACUGAUGUGAAAUCCCCGGGCUCAACCUGGGAACUGCAUUGGUGACUGCAACGCUGGAGUGCGGCAGAGGGGGAUGGAAUUCCGCGUGUAGCAGUGAAAUGCGUAGAUAUGCGGAGGAACACCGAUGGCGAAGGCAAUCCCCUGGGCCUGCACUGACGCUCAUGCACGAAAGCGUGGGGAGCAAACAGGAUUAGAUACCCCCGUAGUCCCUGUCUCUUAUAC